rnacentral:rRNA from 1 species
UACGGAGGGUGCAAGCGUUAUCCGGAUUUACUGGGUUUAAAGGGUGUGUAGGCGGGCUUUUAAGUCAGUGGUGAAAUCUCCAGGCUCAACCUGGAAACUGCCAUUGAUACUAUUAGUCUUGAAUUUUGUUGAGGUAGGCGGAAUAAGUCAUGUAGCGGUGAAAUGCAUAGAUAUGACUUAGAACACCAAUUGCGAAGGCAGCUUGCUAAACAAAUAUUGACGCUGAGGCACGAAAGCGUGGGGAGCGAACAGG